rnacentral:lncRNA from 1 species
GAGCUUCCGCAGAGAUCCUGCAGAUGUGAUUCGAGUCUUCCAGCAACACCACCUCACUCUGCUUUGCACAAUCACUCCACCUCCCCACAUGUUGCGGAGAUUCUCCUGGGGAUUCACACUCUUCCUACUUGCAGCUGUGACACGGGAAACAUCCUCCACCAGGUCUUCUCUCACAGUGUGGCCUCUGCGCACAGGUUAUCCACCUGUAGACCUGGACGGGACCCUCGAGGCUCCCUACUCUGACCAUCUGGUUUUAUAGUUGAGGAACCAGAAGCCGAGGCAGGGUCUCGACGGUGAAGAAGCAGGCUGUUUCCAUCUUCAGGAUACAAGCCAUCUGCGCAUAGGAAGAGGGUCCAGAGGCUCAUCUGGAAUCCCUCCUCACUCACUGGACGGAGGACCUGACCCCGUUCCCAUCAUUGGUUCUGAAUCCAUCAGCCCAGCAAGACAGGUGUCUCCAGCAAGUUCUGUAAAAUACAACCAUAGCCGGGCCUGGAGUCAGCCCCCAAUAAAGGGUUCACCAUGG